GAUGCAAAGGAAAUCAGCACACCCAUGGGCUCAAGUUGCAAGCUUGACAAAGAUGAAAAAGUGCAUCCGGGCCGUUCCGCUUCUUCCCGUUGAUCCCGCGUCGAUCCGCCGCCCGUGCCAACUCCCAGCAGCCAGCGAUGCAAAUCCUCCACGCGGUACAGCCGGCGACCAGCUCCUCCGCGAUCACCGUGCGUGCAGCCAGCACCCCAGCCCAAGCGCUCGUCCGCGUUCAUCACGGAUCCCGCAUCCAUCCGUGGGCCAAAGAAGAAGAUGGAUCUUCUUCCAUCCGUGAAGCAUUCCUCCCGGCGAUCCCGCAGGCCUUCAUCUCUCCCAUAUCCGCCGAUUCAAGAAGCCGUUUCAGCCGCCCGUGAUUCUCCCCACCUUCCGCAUGCGUUCCCCUCUUCCGGAUUCGAGAGCCUUUGCAUCGCGUCCCCUCCUAGCUCAGCCUCCUUCGCAUGAUCCGCUCGUCCGCGUCACUGCCAGCAGCCCAAGUUCCCAUCCGUACUCAUCUUCCACGGAUCAAGCCUCCACAUCCAAGCAAUCCCACAAAUCAAGCUCCCGAGUCCGCCUCCUUUGAAGCCAGUGAUGCAUCCCACGCUUCAAGCCUCCGCGUCUGCAAGCACCAUGAUCCAAGCACCCAGCGGCUCAUCCGAGAUUGGCUCCUCCUUUCGUUUCCAAAUCCCAGCCCCCAAGCAAUCGGAUCCCCAUCGAUCAAGCAUCUGUUACCCCUCCAUCAAAGGAUUCGUCGCUGUCCAUCAGGGGGUGGGCGACCUAUUUAAGGAGAGGAAGAGGGAAGGAGAAGGGGGGACUCGGUGGAGAAGAAAACAGGGGAGACCCCCUGUUUCGGUGAAAAAGGAGAAACCAGCCGAGAGAGAAGAAGAGAAAAAGAAAUAAAAAAAAAGAAAGAGAAAGGAGGGGGGACUUGAGGCGGAUGGCGUGGAGUAUCUUAGCAAGCCGAUCAAAGUCGCCAAGCAUCAUGAGCAGCUAAACCUCGGUUUAGGGGUUUGAUGAAGCCAUAGAGGAGUAUUCGUUUCAUUUUUGUUGAUUUGAGUUUGUAUUGUAAGAUAGGUUGCAUGAUGAAGAAUUUAUCAAUUGAUCUUAUGAUUUAUCCAA